rnacentral:rRNA from 1 species
UCAGCUUGUUGGUGGGGUAAUGGCCCACCAAGGCGACGACGGGUAGCCGGCCUGAGAGGGCGACCGGCCACACUGGGACUGAGACACGGCCCAGACUCCUACGGGAGGCAGCAGUGGGGAAUAUUGCGCAAUGGGCGGAAGCCUGACGCAG